UUUGUAUUACGUGCGGAAAUUGUUACCAUUUCCAGCUCAAAAAUGGUAACAAUUUCCGCACGUAAUACAAA